GGGGGCGCCGCUUCGGGAGAGCGGGCAGUUCUAGGAGGCCGACCUGGAGAGCCUCCCGGUUCCCCUUCCCCUUUUCCCGGACCCCGCGGGGACACCCCCUCGCCGCCACCCGGGCCUCCCCGAGGGCCCAACUGCGGGUCAGGCGGCCCGGGCCAGCCGAAAGGGAAGUGGGGCUACCCCACAGCCAGGCAGCGGGGCUGGGGUCAGACCCGGGAGCCGGAGGUUGGAGACGUGCGACAGUCACCUGCGGGCAGAUUCCAGAGGGGAGACCCAGGGCUGCAGGGGACGCCCCUUCGUGGCAGCUACCCAGCCUCGGCCCACUGCCAGGUUCUUUGCCAACCCUGACGCGAGUGUGGAGCCCCCCUCCCCUCCCCUAUGAAAACGCUUUCAUGCACUGGGGUCUGCAAACCUGGUUGGUCCGGUGUGGGUUGGGCCAGGUGCUCUCGGCCGGGCUGGAGAGCUCGAGGUGGAACGAUGGCCCCAACCUACGGCCCGCGUCCGCCAGAGGGCGCCCUGGGGUCUCCUAGGGGAGGGCAGUUUGGUGCUGCGCGGCCCAGGCCUUGGAAUAGGCACGCCAGGGAUCUGCGGGAAUGGCUGUCUCCGGAGCUGGAAAGGUGGCCGAGAAGGGGGCAUUCACACCCCAGGCUGGGGUCAGACCUGGGAAUAAAAUUCUAGCAGGAGAGAAUUUCCGGAAAGCAGUUUUCCGGGGUUCAGGCUACUGCCAGAUGGCCCACACCCCCUGGAAUGUGAGCGGAGGCGAGAGGAUCACUUGAGCAUGGACAUUCAAGACCAGCCUGGGCAGCAAAUGUUACGUGGCUGCAUGACCAUACACUUCUGGGUAGAGCCCAGUGGAAGACAAAGAAGACUCAAGGAAUAGCCCUUGAGGGCUCAGGAGCUAUACAGAUGGGAUAGAGGGUGUGAGUGCUGGGAAGCCCCAUCCAUGGCUCGCUGGAGAUUAGAGGCCUGUUAAUCUGAAGACAAAGGAAUGAAGACGAAAACGUUUCUGAAAAUGUGGGUGGAGACACCUGGGCCUUUACAGGGUACGCUCCAGAGCUGCUUCCAGGCAGGGACCCCGGCUGAGAGAAGCCAGAGCCAGAGAGUCGCAGGCUUGCUUGCUCUUAUCUUCCCUCUGCUGGGGGGGUCGAGGGGAGAUCUGGCCCCUCUGCUCUGCCCUCCUGAUUUCCCGUCUAAGGGAUUUAGGAGACUUUUGCCUUUUCCUAAUCUCUCCCUUUGCAGAAUUUCUGCGAAGUCACAAUCCCAUUUCCAGGCAAAGGUGCUUGGUCAUAAAGAUAAUAAAGAUAUUCAUUCAUGAUGGAGGGGAAGUACACAGUGGUUUCAGCUGCCUGUAGGGCUCCACUUACUCAUGGUGUGUGACAGAUGCUGAGCCCUUCCCCAAAUC
rnacentral:lncRNA from 10 species